AGAAAGAAGAGCUGGGUGGGAGCGAAGCUCCUGGGCUGGGUGCAUGGGCGUGAGAAGAGUUUUACGGGGUCUUCCUCGGUGCCUUCUAAUCGGCGAGCUGUUUCCUUUGGCUGUGAUUCAAGGCUGAGGUCAGCCGUUCCCUUCACUGACCCGAGCCCGACCGAAGAGGUCGUCACCUCCUCCGCGCUGCAGUCGUCCCCGCCUUCUCCUUUGUGAAUUUUUGCCAUCCUGAAUUGGGGCACUGAGCGUCCAGGGUCUUCACUCUAAAAGUUUGUUCUUUUCCUGUAAGGUGGCAAACUCAGCUUUGAAUGGGGGCAACUGUUUGCUGAAGUGUGAUGUGUGAAGAGGUAGGAGGAAAUGAGCUUGAGCAUCUCAGAAGCUUCAAUUCAGGCCUCUCACUGUUGUGGCCUCUCCCGUUGCGGAGCACAGGCUCCGGACGCACAGGCUCAGUGGCCAUGGCCCACGGGCCCAGCCGCUCCGCGGCAUGUGGGAUCCUCCCAGACCGGGGCACGAACCCGCGUCCCCUGCAUCGGCAGGUGGACUGCCAAACACUGCGCCACCAGGGAAGCCGUCUAAUAUGGUUUUGAUUUGAAUAUCCUUGAUGACUAACGAUGUUGAGCCAGAUCUAAAAGAAGACAUAAUUCUUGAUUAUUAAUUGACUUUUAAGAGUGAAGGAGAGGAAAGAGUAAAAGAUCUGCUUCCUUUUAAUGAUAAUAAACAUCGGUUCCAAAGCCAAAUAUAGAUGGUUUGUAUAUAUCUGCACUGCAUUUUUAAAAUCCCUGCCUCAGUACUAUUUAUGUGGCUAAUUAAAAGUUGGGCAUAAAUAAGAGUCUUUACUCAGGACAAAUCAAAUAACAUUCAUUUUCUUUUCCUGAACACCAUUUGCAUUUUUCCUUAAGUUGAAGGAUCUACUGCUUGGAAAUCUCCUUAGACAGAAGGGAGCUGAAUGACAUGUCCCUCCUUUUUUCCUCUACUUUCUAUACUCCAAUUGUGUGCAUCAGGUUUUUCUUGCUGCCAUAACAAAUUACUACAAAUAUAGCAGCUUAAAAUAACACAAAAUUAUUAUCUUAUAGUUCUGUAGGUCAGAAGUCCAGUAUGGGUUGCAUUAGGCUAAAAUCAACGUGUCAGUAGUGCUGGGUUCCUUUCUGGAGGGUCUAGGGGAAAAUCAUUUCCAUUCUUUUUCAAAUUCUUUCCCCAAUUAGGUUGUUACAGAAUAUUGAGCAGAGUUCCCUGUGCUAUAUAUUAGGUCCUUGUUGGUUAUCCAUUUUAAAUAUAGCAGUGUGUACAUGUCAGUCCCAAACUCCCUAACUAUCCCUCUACCCCGCCCAUCCUGGUAACCAUAAGUUCAUUCUCUAAGUUUAUGAGUCUGUUUCUGUUUUGUAAAUAAGUUCAUUUGUAUAAUUUUUUUAUGGAUUCUGCAUAUGAUAUUUCUCUUUCUCUGUCUGAGUUACUUCAGUCAGUGUGACAAUCUCUAGGGCCAUCCAUGUUGCUGCAAAUGACCCAAUUUCAUUCCUUUCUAUGGCUGAGUAAUAUUCCAUUGUAUAUAUGUACUGCAUCUUCUUUAUCCAUUCUUCUGUCAUUGGGCAUAUAGAUUACUUCCAUGUCUUGGCUACUGUAAACAGCACUGCAAUGAAUAUUACGGUGUAUGUAUUUUUUCGGACCAUGUUUUUCUCUGGGUAUGUGCCCAGGAGUGGGAUUGGGAAGACUCAUUCUUGGAAACAAUAUUUAAGGAGUAUUUACCCAUGCAACGCUACUGGGUCUGCUGCUCAGGUGAUUAUUAUAAGGAGCUCUGUUGCAGCAGUUCUUUGUGGGGAAAUAUUUAAUGUCAGGGCCUUAAUGUCCUGAGCCAUUAUGUUACUGUUCUAUCAGUCCACUGUUUCAAUUUUUCUAUUUAAAAAAAAUUUUUUUUUUGGCUGCACUGCAUGGCACGUGGGAUCUUAGCUCCCCAACCAGGGAUCGAACUUGUGCCCCCUGCAGUGGAAGUGUGGAGUCUUAACCAUUGGACCGCCAGGGAAGUCCCUCAAUUUCUCUAAACAACCAUUUCCUGACUGCCCUAGAAGUGUUGUGUUAGGAGGAUUAGUUCUAGCAAUCACCACUCUAAUGACUUAUAACCAUUAAGUUAACCUAGUCAGCCCAGUCAAAUUGACAUACAAAAUUAAUUUUGUAUGUCAACUUGACUAAGUCAAGAGAUGCCCAGAUAUUUGGUCAAAGAUUAUUCUGGCUGUGUCAGUAAAGAUGUUUGGGGAUGAGAUUCACAUUUGAAUCUAUAGACUGAGUAGAGCAGACUAUCCUCUCUUAUGUGUGUGGGCCUCAUCCAAUCAGUUGAAGGCCUGAAUAGAACAAAAAGGCUGACCAUCCUGCAAGUAAGAGGGAACUCCUGCCUCACUGCCUUGGAGCUGGGACAUCAGUUUUUUCCUGCCUUUGAACUAGAACUAAAACAUUGGCUCUACCUGGAUGUCAAGCCUGCUAGCCUUUGGGCUGGAAAUGCACCAUCAGCUCUCCAGUUCUCAGGCCUUUGGACUUGGACAGAAACUACACCACUGGCUUUUCAGGGUCUCUAGCUUGCUGACUACAGAUCUUGAGACUUGUCAGCCUCUAAAUUAAGUCAAUUUCUUAUACUCAAUCUCAAUCUCUCUCUCUCUCUCUCUCUCUCUCUCUCUCUCUCUCUGUAUAUAUAUAGUUGACCUUGAACAAUACAGAUUUGACCUGUGUGGGGGUCUACUUAUAUGUGGAUUUUUUUCAGUAGUAAAUACUACAGUACUACACGAUCCGAUGUUGGCUGAAUCUGCAGAUGCAAAAUCUCCGAUACAGAGGGCCAACUACAAGUUAUAUGUAGAGUUUUGAUGGCAUGGAGGGUUGGCACCCUGAACUCCCACAUUGUUAAAGGGUCAACUGUAAACACACACACACACACACACACACACAUACACACACACAACUUUCUAUUGGUUCUGUUUCUCUGGAGAACCCUGACCAGUACAAGUAGUAUCCUCACUUUUCGUCACAGUAACUCUCCUUACCUCCACCUUGGGAACUUUUUUUUCCCCUCUCUUAUAACUCUUAUGCAACUUUUAACCACCCUUCUGAUAGAGGCUAAUCUCAGUGAGUCUUGGAGGGCCCACA